rnacentral:rRNA from 1 species
UACGGAAGGCAGCAGUGGGGAAUAUUGCACAAUGGGCGCAAGCCUGAUGCAGCCAUGCCGCGUGUAUGAAGAAGGCCUUCGGGUUGUAAAGUACUUUCAGCGGGGAGGAAGGCGGUGGAGUUAAUAGCUUCACCGAUUGACGUUACCCGCAGAAGAAGCACCGGCUAACUCCGUGCCAGCAGCCGCGGUAAUACGGAGGGUGCAAGCGUUAAUCGGAAUUACUGGGCGUAAAGCGCACGCAGGCGGUCUGUCAAGUCGGAUGUGAAAUCCCCGGGCUUAACCUGGGAACUGCAUUCGAACUGGCAGGCUAGAGUCUUGUAGAGGGGGUAGAAUUCCAGGUGUAGCGGUGAAAUGCGUAGAGAUCUGGAGGAAUACCGGUGGCGAAGGCGGCCCCUGGGACAAAGCUGACGCUCAGGGUGCGAAAGCGUGGGGAGCAAACGAGGGAUUAGGAU